AGUGAACGCUGGCGGCAGGCCUAACACAUGCAAGUCGAGCGGCAGCGGGUCCUUCGGGAUGCCGGCGAGCGGCGGACGGGUGAGGAAUGCGUCGGAAUCUGCCUUUUUGUGGGGGAUAACGUAGGGAAACUUACGCUAAUACCGCAUACGACCUACGGGUGAAAGUGGGGGACCGCAAGGCCUCACGCAGAAAGAUGAGCCGACGCCGGAUUAGCUAGUUGGCGGGGUAAAGGCCCACCAAGGCGACGAUCCGUAGCUGGUCUGAGAGGAUGAUCAGCCACACUGGAACUGAGACACGGUCCAGAAUCCUACGGGAGGCAGCAGUGGGGAAUAUUGGACAAUGGGCGCAAGCCUGAUCCAGCCAUGCCGCGUGUGUGAAGAAGGCCUUCGGGUUGUAAAGCACUUUUGUCCGGAAAGAAAUCCAAUCGAUUAAUACUCGGUUGGGAUGACGGUACCGGAAGAAUAAGCACCGGCUAACUUCAUGCCAGCAGCCGCCGUAACAC
rnacentral:rRNA from 1 species